UACGUAGGGUGCGAGCGUUGUCCGGAAUUAUUGGGCGUAAAGAGCUUGUAGGCGGUUUGUCGCGUCUGCCGUGAAAGCCCAGGGCUUAACCCUGGGUCUGCGGUGGGUACGGGCAGACUAGAGUGUGGUAGGGGAGACUGGAAUUCCUGGUGUAGCGGUGAAAUGCGCAGAUAUCAGGAGGAACACCGGUGGCGAAGGCGGGUCUCUGGGCCGGUACCGACGCUGAGGAGCGAAAGCGUGGGGAGCGAACAGG
rnacentral:rRNA from 1 species